UGGCUCAGAGGUUAAAGCAUCUGCCUGGAAUGUGGGAGACCCAGGUUCAAUCCCUGG
rnacentral:tRNA from 1 species